rnacentral:rRNA from 1 species
UACGUAGGCAGCGAGCGUUGUUCGGAGUUACUGGGCGUAAAGGGUGUGUAGGCGGUUCUCUAAGUUUGGUGUGAAAUCUCCCGGCUCAACCGGGAGGGUGCGCCGAAAACUGGAGGGCUAGAGUGCGGGAAGGGAGAGUAGAAUUCCUGGUGUAGCGGUGAAAUGCGUAGAUAUCAGGAGGAACACCCAUAGCGAAGGCAACUUGCUGGGACGUUACUGACGCUAAGGCGCGAAAGCGUGGGGAGCGAACAGG